rnacentral:rRNA from 1 species
GCAGCGGAGCGUGUGGUUUAAUUCGUUGCUACACGAAGAACCUUACCUGGGUUUGACAUAUAGGUUGUAGGGAACUGAAAGGGACGACCCUUCGGGGAGCCUAUACAGGUGUUGCAUGGCUGUCGUCAGCUCGUGUCGUGAGAUGUUCGGUUAAGUCCGCUAACGAGCGCAACCCUCGUCGUAUGUUAUAUGUGUCAUACGAGACUGCCGGUAAAAAGCCGGAGGAAGGUGAGGAUGAUGUCAAGUCAGCAUGACCUUUAUAUCCAGGGCUACACACACGCUACAAUGGUCUGUACAAUGGGUAGCCAAGCCGCGAGGCGGAGCCAAUCCUGAAAGCAGGCCUCAGUUCAGAUUGCAGUCUGCAACUCGACUGCAUGAAGCCGGAGUUGCUAGUAACCGCAGGUCAGCAAUACUGCGGUGAAUACGUUCCCGGGUCUU